rnacentral:rRNA from 1 species
AUUGAACGCUGGCGGCAUGCCUUACACAUGCAAGUCGAACGGCAGCACGGGAGCAAUCCUGGUGGCGAGUGGCGAACGGGUGAGUAAAGUAUCGGAACGUGCCCAGUCGUGGGGGAUAACGUAGCGAAAGUUACGCUAAUACCGCAUACGAUCUAUGGAUGAAAGCGGGGGAUCGCAAGACCUCGCGCGAUUGGAGCGGCCGAUAUCAGAUUAGGUAGUUGGUGGGGUAAAGGCUCACCAAGCCGACGAUCUGUAGCUGGUCUGAGAGGACGACCAGCCACACUGGGACUGAGACACGGCCCAGACUCCUACGGGAGGCAGCAGUGGGGAAUUUUGGACAAUGGGCGCAAGCCUGAUCCAGCCAUGCCGCGUGCAGGAUGAAGGCCUUCGGGUUGUAAACUGCUUUUGUACGGAACGAAAAGGUCUCCUCUAAUACAGGGGGCUCAUGACGGUACCGUAAGAAUAAGCACCGGCUAACUACGUGCCAGCCGCCGCGGUAA